rnacentral:snRNA from 1 species
AAACUCACCUGGCAAGGAAGUAAUACCAGGAAUACAAAGGUGGUCUUCUCAAGGUGAGGUUCAUCCAUUGCUCUCCAGGUAUGCUGACCCCUGUCAUUUCCCCAAACGCAGGAGACACAGCUUGAGGCAGUAGUGGCUGCAUUUGUCCUAUACCCUAA